UACGUAGGGGGCAAGCGUUGUCCGGAAUCAUUGGGCGUAAAGCGCGUGUAGGCGGCCCGAUAAGUCCGCUGUGAAAGUCCAGGACUCAACCCUGGGAUGCCGGUGGAUACUGUCGGGCUCGAGUCCGGAAGAGGCGAGUGGAAUUCCUGGUGUAGCGGUGAAAUGCGCAGAUAUCAGGAGGAACACCAAUGGCGAAGGCAGCUCGCUGGGACGUGACUGACGCUGAGACGCGAAAGCGUGGGGAGCAAACAGG
rnacentral:rRNA from 1 species